rnacentral:misc_RNA from 1 species
GUGUCGGAGGUGGAGUUGAUAGAGGGGAGGGGGAAUUAUGGACAGAAGGGGUGGAUUAUCAGUCUUGCCGGGAUUGAUACCGUGGAGAAGGCGAAGCAAAUUGUUGGCUCAACUUUACUCGUAAAGGAAGGAGACAGGCCAGAAUUGGAGGAAGGCGAGUUUUACAACCCUGAUCUUGUUGGCAUGAGGGUUGUUCUUAAGGAAACUGGCAGAUACAUAGGGACAGUCAUUAAUGUUUACAACACCGGUGCUAGUGUCCUUCUACAGGUCAUACUCAAUUCAAAUGUAGAAAGACCCGAUUAUUCUGAUUCAUCUACAACAGA